rnacentral:misc_RNA from 1 species
UUUGUUAUAGUCGUACGGCUAGAAACAUUGUCAUCCAGGCUCUGCUUAGCAGAAUGACUUGAUAUCAUAGUAUCUAAAAUACGGUCAAAGCCAGUCAUGGAGAACAUACAACUAUCUGAGUUUCCCUGGUUGAUGGUAGAAGAAGCAUCCUGACUUAUUGUAGAAGUCGAGCUAUUUUUAAUCCAAUCCUUUGUGUUGGAGUUUGGUUCUUUGCACUGGCCAUUG